AUGCGCCACCACGGCCAGCUAAUUUUGUAUUUUUAGUAGAGACGGGGUUUCUCCAUGUUGGUCAGGCUGGUCUCAAACUCCAGACCUCAGGUGAUCCGCCCACCUCAGCCUCCCAAAGUGCUGGGAUUACAGACAGGAGCCACCGCGCCCAGCCUGGGGAGUGGCUAUUGGAUAAGUGGAGGCUAUCUAUUGGCUUCUUGCUCACUUGCAUUCCUGCAAGAUGACUACUUUGUCAUAAGCCCCCUGUGCCAUUCCUGGGGGCGGAGGGAGGGGGCGGUGGAGCCGAUGGUUGUAGCUGCUGAAGUUUACUGGCUAAAUCUGUCUACUUGGUUAUUUAAUGCUGCUUACAUGUUGGAUUGUCUCUGGCAGAUAAAGAUUGUGUUAUACAAUACAAAAAGCCCUCCUUAUGUGCCAUAUCUGAUAUAUUUCUCCUCUGCUUCUCCAGACUUCUUGUCCCUGAUAUACCAGUCUUAUUCCAGACCCCUGAUCAACUAGCCAACUUAUUUGCCAUGAAAAUAUGUUCUUAGUUCAAGACACUUUCUUUCCACACACAGUUGAUGACCAGGAAUACUGCCCCACAUUAUGCCUUUUGGGAGGGUUCUCCUUACUGCUGUCUUUUAAGGCCAGUCCUGUGUGGGGCUGUAGGGCAGUAGCAGUCCAUUUUUGUUUUGAACCUAUAUUCCAAGAAACCUCAGUGAAUUCAGCUCAGGCUUUUUUGUCCUCCAUAAGCUAGACAUGAGAGCCUCCCAAGUGGCCAUAAUUGUGAGCUGAGGAAGGGACAUUGGUAAAGAAUCAGAUAUGACAUGGGAGCCUGACCACCUGCCUUUGCCCAGCUCAUGAUGGGCCUCUCUGGCUACAUGGUCACUUGAUGUCCAUAAUCAGUUCUUACCAAGGCACAUUAGCAUGGAUAGAGUUGUUUUUGGGAUUUUGCACUGCAGAUGGCCCAGCCUUGCCACAGAAUGCCAGGAGUCGACCUUGUGAUUCUCCCAUUGGAGCUUGCCUUCAACUUUCAUGGCUUCUUAUCACAUUUACUCUUGUCCCAUAGAAUAUCCUGAAUUGGUCCAUGCAACAGGGCUAAAUACACCAUACCUGCUAGAGAACUUUUACAUGCUAUGGAUCCCACUGAAAACUGGCAGAUUUCUAUCUCACCCAGUUUACGAGUCAGAACAGUACUGCCAACUUCUGAAUUCCCACAGAAGCCUACACAGCUUGGUGUGCUUCCCUGGUGGCAGAAUAAUUUUGGUGAAAUGAGUGGGUGAGAUGCAAUAAUUUGUCCUUUACUGUGAAGGGGAUAUCUUGGCAUUCAAGCAGCCUACUGGGCCCUAAAAGUUUCACUGAGGUAACAGCUUGCUGGGUCUUAAGGAUUAUUUCCCAUCCUCCAGUGUACAGUAUGCUAGCUGCUUAUUAUUCACCUUAUCCAGCUAGCAUGAUGUCAUCAAUGUGGUAGGUCAUUGUGACAUUAUGUGGGAUGUUUAGAUGGUCUAGAUCUCUUCGGAUUAUGACGCAGUGUGGAAGAGUUAACAUAACCCUAAGCCAAUACUAUAAAUGGGUACUGCUGUCCUAUAUAAACACAAACUUAAUUCUUGUCCAGCACUCUCAGGACCCAGUUCCAUACACAUGCUCAUGGUUCCUGUUGGUACAUGUUGGUUAGAUCCUGCAUCUCUUUGGUCAUAUAAGCCCAUUUGGAAUUGAAAGUAGACACACAGAAUGAGGGCAAAACACCUGCAGAACAGCUGCUUCAUCAUGGUGGGCUUUUUUCAUAUUAGGUUUUGUUACCUUUGAGUUUUUAAAUUAUGUGUAAAGCUUCGAUUAAAAAAAUAAAAAUUAUUAAAAAGAAACUGAGACAGUCU
rnacentral:lncRNA from 1 species